CGUAGGGUGCGAGCGUUAAUCGGAAUUACUGGGCGUAAAGCGUGCGCAGGCGGUUAUAUAAGACAGAUGUGGAAUCCCCGGGCUCAACCUGGGAACUGCAUUUGUGACUGUAUAGCUAGAGUACGGCAGAGGGGGAUGGAAUUCCGCGUGUAGCAGUGAAAUGCGUAGAUAUGCGGAGGAACACCGAUGGCGAAGGCAAUCCCCUGGGCCUGUACUGACGCUCAUGCACGAAAGCGUGGGGAGCAAACAGGAUUAGAUACCCUGGUAGUCCACGCCCUAAACGAUGUCAACUGGUUGUUGGGUCUUCACUGACUCAGUAACGAAGCUAACGCGUGAAGUUGACCGCCUGGGGAGUACGGCCGCAAGGUUG
rnacentral:rRNA from 1 species